GCCCGGCCCUAUCGAAGCUGCGUCUGUCUCGCUGCUGUGGCAGAUGCAGUCAAAAAGGAGCCAAGAGCGAAGGGUUUGUUUUUUCCUCGACGGUCGCCGCUCAGCUGGAAUCCGUGGCUGUGCGGCAACAUUCCGGGAAAAUACAGGG